rnacentral:rRNA from 1 species
AAUGCUUGGGAACUUGCCUUUGCGAGGGGGAUAACAGUUGGAAACGACUGCUAAUACCGCAUAAUGUCUUCGGACCAAACGGGGCUUCGGCUCCGGCGCAAAGAGAGGCCCAAGUGAGAUUAGCUAGUUGGUAAGGUAACGGCUUACCAAGGCGACGAUCUCUAGCUGUUCUGAGAGGAAGAUCAGCCACACUGGGACUGAGACACGGCCCAGACUCCUACGGGAGGCAGCAGUGGGGAAUAUUGCACAAUGGGGGAAACCCUGAUGCAGCCAUGCCGCGUGUGUGAAGAAGGCCUUCGGGUUGUAAAGCACUUUCAGUUGUGAGGAAAAGUUAGUAGUUAAUACCUGCUAGCCGUGACGUUAACAACAGAAGAAGCACCGGCUAACUCCGUGCCAGCAGCCGCGGUAAUACGGAGGGUGCGAGCGUUAAUCGGAAUUACUGGGCGUAAAGCGCACGCAGGCGGUUUGUUAAGCUAGAUGUGAAAGCCCCGGGCUCAACCUGGGAUGGUCAUUUAGAACUGGCAGACUAGAGUCUUGAGAGGGGAGUGGAAUUCCAGGUGUAGCGGUGAAAUGCGUAGAUAUCUGGAGGAACAUCAGUGGCGAAAGGCGACUCCCUGGCCAAGACUGACGCUCAUGUGCGAAAGUGUGGGUAGCGAACAGGAUUAGAUACCCUGGUAGUCCACCACCGUAAACGCUGUCUACUAGCUGGUG